rnacentral:rRNA from 1 species
UGCUACAGGCUUAACACAUGCAAGUCGAGGGGCAGCAUGGUCUUAGCUUGCUAAGGCCGAUGGCGACCGGCGCACGGGUGAGUAACACGUAUCCAACCUGCCGUCUACUCUUGGACAGCCUUCUGAAAGGAAGAUUAAUACAAGAUGGCAUCAUGAGUCCGCAUGUUCACAUGAUUAAAGGUAUUCCGGUAGACGAUGGGGAUGCGUUCCAUUAGAUAGUAGGCGGGGUAACGGCCCACCUAGUCUUCGAUGGAUAGGGGUUCUGAGAGGAAGGUCCCCCACAUUGGAACUGAGACACGGUCCAAACUCCUACGGGAGGCAGCAGUGAGGAAUAUUGGUCAAUGGGCGAGAGCCUGAACCAGCCAAGUAGCGUGAAGGAUGACUGCCCUAUGGGUUGUAAACUUCUUUUAUAAAGGAAUAAAGUCGGGUAUGCAUACCCGUUUGCAUGUACUUUAUGAAUAAGGAUCGGCUGACUCCGUGCCAGCAGCCGCGGUAAUACGGAGGAUCCGAGCGUUAUCCGGAUUUAUUGGGUUUAAAGGGAGCGUAGAUGGAUGUUUAAGUCAGUUGUGAAAGUUUGCGGCUCAACCGUAAAAUUGCAGUUGAUACUGGAUAUCUUGAGUGCAGUUGAGGCAGGCGGAAUUCGUGGUGUAGCGGUGAAAUGCUUAGAUAUCACGAAGAACUCCGAUUGCGAAGGCAGCCUGCUAAGCUGCAACUGACAUUGAGGCUCGAAAGUGUGGGUAUCAAACAGGAUUAGAUACCCUGGUAGUCCACACGGUAAACGAUGAAUACUCGCUGUUUGCGAUAUACAGCAAGCGGCCAAGCGAAAGCGUUAAGUAUUCCACCUGGGGAGUACGCCGGCAACGGUGAAACUCAAAGGAAUUGACGGGGGCCCGCACAAGCGGAGGAACAUGUGGUUUAAUUCGAUGAUACGCGAGGAACCUUACCCGGGCUUAAAUUGCAGAUGAAUUACGGUGAAAGCCGUAAGCCGCAAGGCAUCUGUGAAGGUGCUGCAUGGUUGUCGUCAGCUCGUGCCGUGAGGUGUCGGCUUAAGUGCCAUAACGAGCGCAACCCUUGUUGUCAGUUACUAACAGGUUCCGCUGAGGACUCUGACAAGACUGCCAUCGUAAGAUGUGAGGAAGGUGGGGAUGACGUCAAAUCAGCACGGCCCUUACGUCCGGGGCUACACACGUGUUACAAUGGGGGGUACAGAGGGCCGCUACCACGCGAGUGGAUGCCAAUCCCAAAAACCUCUCUCAGUUCGGACUGGAGUCUGCAACCCGACUCCACGAAGCUGGAUUCGCUAGUAAUCGCGCAUCAGCCACGGCGCGGUGAAUACGUUCCCGGGCCUUGUACACACCGCCCGUCAAGCCAUGGGAGCCGGGGGUACCUGAAGUGCGUAACCGCGAGGAGCGCCCUAGGGUAAAACUGGUGACUGGGGCUA